GUUCACUGACUGAGCCACCCAGGCGCCCUUUCUAAGCCCUUUUGAGUUCACGCGUAUGGAAUUUAAGAAGUAAGACAAAUGAGCAACAAUGGAAAAAGGAGACAAAAAAUAAACAAAAAACCAGAAUUCUAAUACAGAGAACAAGCCGGCGGAUGCCAGAGGCAAGUGAGGGCAGAAAGAAAAAAGGAACCAUUGCUUGAGCUUCAGACAGAAACAAUGAAUGCUGGCCUGUGCCGUGUUUCUUCUAUCAGGAAGAACAGCUU